UAACCAUCCAUUUCUUUUUAAGGAUGAUGGUAAUAUCCCUUAUGACCAAACUAAGUUAGAUACCAAUGAAAAAAAUAUUAGUGCACAUAAACAACCAUAAUAUAAUCGUAACAUCAAGUACAAUCACUACCACAUAAACUAGAACAGAAUCUAGAUUUGCACUCGGAUCACCUUCAUUCACAGUAGGUUUUUUUUUCUGCAAAAUGCCAACUCCUCAGUUCAACAUCAUGUUCUCAAUGAAGACAUUCAAGCGCUUCACACACUGAAUAGAAAAAAGAGAGAGCUUUCUCAAUUUGAAGCAAUUGCCAGGAGAGACCGUCCCCAGCAUUAGAGGUCCACCCACAAUAGAUGUUUGUUCUGAAUCUGAGAUUUCAUCUUCAUCUCGUCCAAGUAUGUAGACCAGGGCCAGCUUUCUUGCAGCCAAAACACAAGCCACACCUCUACUAGCUGUAGCCAAGAAUAAAUAAUUCAACUUGAUUUCACUCCGAUGGUCCUAUAAUAUGGCCAUAACUAAUGCGAUGUUUUGAUACCUUUGCUGGGUAAAAUUAAUAAGUACAAUACUUGCAUCGCACUAAAACAUAGGCAGGAGCAAAACUUAUGUACCUGAAGAGGCUAUCGUAUGCAUGUGAACCAUGAAUGCUCUACAGUAUCUUUCUAUACUAAAGACCCUAAUAGUAUCUAUCAUCAUGAACAUGUACCUACUAGUUCCUAGUCAGUAACUCAGACUACAAUGAACCUACCAUAAGAAGAUAAUUAUUCUUUCUUUAUUUGUCU
rnacentral:lncRNA from 1 species